rnacentral:rRNA from 1 species
AGAGUUUGAUCAUGGCUCAGAUUGAACGCUGGCGGCAUGCUUUACACAUGCAAGUCGAACGGCAGCGGGGUAGUGCUUGCACUACUGCCGGCGAGUGGCGAACGGGUGAGUAAUAUAUCGGAACGUACCGAGUAAUGGGGGAUAACCAAUUGAAAGAUUGGCUAAUACCGCAUACGUCCUGAGGGAGAAAGCGGGGGAUCGCAAGACCUCGCGUUAUUCGAGCGGCCGAUAACUGAUUAGCUAGUUGGUGGGGUAAAGGCCUACCAAGGCGACGAUCAGUAGCGGGUCUGAGAGGACGAUCCGCCACACUGGAACUGAGACACGGUCCAGACUCCUACGGGAGGCAGCAGUGAGGAAUCUUCCACAAUGGGCGAAAGCCUGAUGGAGCAACGCCGCGUGCAGGACGAAGGCCUUCGGGUUGUAAACUGCUUUUAUAAGUGAGGAAUAUGACGGUAACUUAUGAAUAAGGAUCGGCUAACUACGUGCCAGCAGCCGCGGU